AUGGAGCUGGACUACUCGCAAGGCGGCGUGCUGCCCAGCUUUGACUUCGCGAUCGAUUCGGUCAACUUCUCCGACCGGAAGCUGCAUAUAGAGAUCGUCGCCGGUGACCACGCGCUGGGUUUCGGCGGACACGUCGGCGGAGGAUCCACUGCCGACCAGGCGCGCCGCGGCGAGGAGAAAGUCUUGGUUGCUUGUCCGGCAGAGUCGACACUACUUGGUGAUGACUCUUCCUCAAUGAUGGUGGGUACACCAGUUUUACGAGAAAAAACCAUUCAUAUCAAUUCAGCGAUUCUUGCUUCAAGAAGUCCUUUCUUUCUGAAGUUUUUCUCAAAUGGCAUGAAAGAAUCUGAUCAGACGCACCCAACAAUUAGGAUUGCUGAUACAGAGGAAAAUGCCCUUAUGGAGCUUUUAAGAUAUAUCUACAGCGGAAAGUUGACAACAACGGAGCCCAGUCUAUUGCUCGACAUCUUGAUGGCUGCAGACAAAUUUGAGGUUCUCUCUUGCAUGAGGCAUUGCAGUCAGUUGCUCAGAAGCUUGCCUAUGACCACAGAAUCUGCACUGCUUUACCUAGACCACCCUUGCUCGGCCUCAUUAGCAGCUGAGGUCGAGGGUGUGAUAGGCGUAGCCAAGGAAUUCCUUGCCAACAAAUACAAUGAUUUUGAUAAGUUCCAGCAUGAACUGAUGAACUUCCCUCUUGCUGGGAUUGAAACCAUCUUGUCAAGUACCGACCUACAAGUAGCGUUGGAAGAUUGCAUAUAUACCUUUAUACUCACAUGGGCGCGGGCACGAUACCCAGAAUUGGACGAAAGACGUGAGAUCUUGAGUUGUCGUUUACUUCCACUGGUUCGCUUCAGUCAUUUGACAUGUCCAGCACUAAAGAAUAUCCUAGCACACGCUGAUGAUGAUAUUGACCAUGGGCAAGUAGCUAAGCUUAUCGCUGAGGGACUUCUGCAAAAAGCUUACCCAAAACAGAUGGAAUGUGCUCUUACAGCAGACGUAACAACCUGUCGGCAAUUUACUGAACGAGCUUACAAGUUCAAACCUGUGAAGUUGGUUGCUUUUGAUCGACCCUGCCCACAGGUUAUAGCUUACCUGGAUGUAACGCGCGAGGAGUGCUCCCAACUCUUCCCGUCUGGAUAUGUAUGGUCGCACAGCUUCCGGCUUGCAAGGUGGAAGGGGGGCAUUUUUUUCAACCCAGUCUGUACAAUGAACAAGCAGAGUAAGUUGUGCACCUUUGGUCUCAAGUUAAUGGGAUUCAGUGAUAAUCAGAAGGUCUCAACAGUUUCGACAGUAGUAGAUAUUGAGUUUGCUGCAAGGACAAGAUCGUCAGGGAAAUUUGAGAGAAAGUACAGGAGUAAGGGCACCUUCACCGGUGAUUGGUCGGUAAAAUGCGAUGAUCUUUUUGGCGUUCCAUGGUCGAUGUUCAUUGCCGAUGAAGACCUCUUCAUUGACGGUGUCCUGCAUCUGAGAGCUGAUUUGGCGGUGGUCCGGCAGCCGCAGUUACACGCUUGA
rnacentral:rRNA from 1 species